rnacentral:rRNA from 1 species
GACGAACGCUGGCGGCGUGCUUAACACAUGCAAGUCGAACGGAAAGGCCCUGCUUUUGUGGGGUGCUCGAGUGGCGAACGGGUGAGUAACACGUGAGUAACCUGCCCUUGACUUUGGGAUAACUUCAGGAAACUGGGGCUAAUACCGGAUAGGAGCUCCUGCUGCAUGGUGGGGGUUGGAAAGUUUCGGCGGUUGGGGAUGGACUCGCGGCUUAUCAGCUUGUUGGUGGGGUAGUGGCUUACCAAGGCUUUGACGGGUAGCCGGCCUGAGAGGGUGACCGGCCCCAUUGGGACUGAGAUACGGCCAGACUCCUACGGGAGGCAGCAGUGGGGAAUAUUGCACAAUGGGCGGAAGCCUGAUGCAGCAACGCCGCGUGCGGGAUGACGGCCUUCGGGUUGUAAACCGCUUUCGCCUGUGACGAAGCGUGAGUGACGGUAAUGGGUAAAGAAGCACCGGCUAACUACGUG